GCGCCCGUAGCUCAAUUGGAUAGAGCGUCGGUCUACGGAACCGAAGGUUACAGGUUCGAAUCCUGUCGGGCGCA
rnacentral:tRNA from 2 species